AUUGAACGCUGGCGGCAGGCCUAACACAUGCAAGUCGAACGAGAGGCGGACGGGUGAGUAAUGUCUGGGAAACUGCCUGAUGGAGGGGGAUAACUACUGGAAACGGUAGCUAAUACCGCAUACUAUCAGAUGGGCCCAGAUGGGAUUGUCUUGUUGGUGGGGUAACGGCUCACCGAGGCGACGAUCCCUAGCUGGUCUGAGAGGAUGACCAGCCACACUGGGACUGAGACACGGUCCAGACUCCUACGGGAGGCAGCAGUGGGGAAUAUUGCACAUUGGGCGCAAGCCUGAUGCAGCCAUGCCGCGUGUAUGAAUAGUGCCUUCGGUUUGUAAAGUACUUUCAGCGGGGAGGCGUUACCCGCAGAAGAAGCACCGGCUAACUCCGUGCCAGCAGCCGCGGUAAUUC
rnacentral:rRNA from 1 species